CGAAAUAUUGAACAAUAUUUUGUCUUUAAACAGGAGAGAAGUGAAUUGAAAGCUGCACAGAUAAGAAAAAAAUUAUCUAAAAGUGUUGAUACCAACAAAGAGGAUCAGACAACCGACGACACGAAGAAUGAAGAAUACACCUUGAAUAAACUGGAGCUGCAGUUUAGUGAUGAUGUGCAGAACCAUUCGGCUAAGAUCGAGUUGUUGAGUAAGGCGCGGGAUGAUCUACAUAUUGGGUUGCAGAAGAUCCUGAAAACUGGAGAUUUCUUGCUAAAGAAAGGGAGAACCGCCAUAGGAAAUGAUCUCACCCAACUCAAAAGAAAAUGGGAACUGUUCUGUUCAAAGGAUGCAUUCAAUCGAUGUGCGAAUACGUCAAAUAAAUGCGACUUGCCUGAUCCUAAACUUUACAGUACGUCGUCCGGAAAACCUGACUAUUUUA